CACCUGGACAAUCAGUGAAACCUUCUGCUGUCCUACAGCGAAGGUUUGGCUUAUGAACUUAUGAAUAGUGUGAGUAUUGUGUUUACACUGAAAAAGUCAAUUUGCUUUUUGAUUAUUAGAAUGCGAAAACGCGUUGUUUUCCAUUGUUUUUAAUAUGUAAAAGCACUAGACGGACGUGUUUGACAGUUGCACUAGUCUCUAGCACAUCUAAAAACGCGGCGCUCAAGUUAACUCUUUCACAUGUAGGUCACGACAGUGGACAGAAAUUCAAAAAGCCAUUUUCUUGCAUAUGCAUGAGUUUUGAUGGCAUGCCAUAGUUGCACAUCAACCUCUACAGUGGACACUAGUGCAUCAUCCUAUACACUGCCACCUAGUGGCAAGCCGUUGUACGUGUUUUUUUGUUUUUUUUUCUUCUCUAUACCAAGAUGUCCGACGGCCAGUCAGAAAUGCCAAGUUGCUCUGAAAUAUCCAUCCAUUCCUUCUAUCCUAACAAAAAAAAGUUGUAACAUCUAAGGAGUCAUAUCAUUGUUACAUUUUCCAAGCAUUGAUUUUAGAUAUGGAGGUAAUUCUGAUUAAUCAUCUGUCCACUAAACUGGACAUCAUGCAUCACUAGCUAAAUUUCAGCUACAGUUCAUACUAUUACUGUGACUGUUGUUCUUGAAAAUACUUCAUUUGCAGUAACUUUUUUGGCUGUAAAUAAAUGUAUUUGCGUUAUUAGAUUGUAAUUUGCAAUUACGUCAAAAAAGUAAUCUGAUUACGUUAUUUACAUUACUUGUAAUGCGUCACUUUACUCGUUACGUCAGAAAAGUAAUCUGAUUACGUUAUUUACAUUACUUGUAAUGCGUCACUUUACUCGUUACGUCAGAAAAGUAAUCUGAUUACGUUAUUUACAUUACUUGUAAUGCGUCACUUUACUCGUUAGGUCAGAAAAGUAAUCUGAUUACGUUAUUUACAUUACUUGUAAUGCGUCACUUUACUCGUUAGGUCAGAAAAGUAAUCUGAUUACGUUAUUUACAUUACUUGUAAUGCGUCACUUUACUCGUUAGGUCAGAAAAGUAAUCUGAUUACGUUAUUUACAUUACUUGUAAUGCGUCACUUUACUCGUUAGGUCAGAAAAGUAAUCUGAUUACGUUAUUUACAUUACUUGUAAUGCGUCACUUUACUCGUUACGUCAGAAAAGUAAUCUGAUUACGUUAUUUACAUUACUUGUAAUGCGUCACUUUACUCGUUAGGUCAGAAAAGUAAUCUGAUUACGUUAUUUACAUUACUUGUAAUGCGUCACUUUACUCGUUAGGUCAGAAAAGUAAUCUGAUUACGUUAUUUACAUUACUUGUAAUGCGUCACUUUACUCGUUAGGUCAGAAAAGUAAUCUGAUUACGUUAUUUACAUUACUUGUAAUGCGUCACUUUACUCGUUACGUCAGAAAAGUAAUCUGAUUACGUUAUUUACAUUACUUGUAAUGCGUCACUUUACUCGUUACGUCAGAAAAGUAAUCUGAUUACGUUAUUUACAUUACUUGUAAUGCGUCACUUUACUCGUUAGGUCAGAAAAGUAAUCUGAUUACGUAAUGCACGUUACUUGUAAUGCGUCACUUUACUCGUUAGGUCAGAAAAGUAAUCUGAUUACGUUAUUUACAUUACUUGUAAUGCGUCACUUUACUCGUUAGGUCAGAAAAGUAAUCUGAUUACGUAAUGCACGUUACUUGUAAUGCGUCACUUUACUCGUUAGCGUAAUCAGAUUACUUUUCUGACCUAUUUACAUUACUUGUAAUGCAUCACUUUACUCGUUAUGUCAGAAAAGUAAUCUGAUUACGUAAUGCACGUUACUUGUAAUGCGUUACCCCCAACACUGCUCAUUUCCGAUGAGAUUGAAAACACCUGAUCUGUAUCUAUGUUCAAAAAGUGAAUAAAUGGAUUAUAACUACUGCAUAAAUAUAAUUUAAUACCACAAAAUACCCUAAAAAUACAAAAUAAAUAAAAACAUUGAACUAAAAUAUAGUACAUUCAAUUAAUUUGAAAUAAAAAUACAUCUUUGGCCAUUUUUGACCGUCAUGUGAGCUGCACCAAAGAGUUAAAGAGUGUUUAAAGCAGCAGAAAACAAAACUGCAGCACACAUAUAAUGAACAGAACGAACAGGCCUUAAAGGGACAGUCAUCAUUUAUUCAGCCUGCUAAGUGAUGACUUAAUUUUCAUUUUAUUAUCCCUUUAACUCUUGCGUGUGUUUUUGUUUGAUUAAAACAGUCAUGUUGUAGCAGCACAGAAUCAUCAGGUUUCCGGUCCACAGUAAAACAGAUGUACACUACUGAAAACAACCGUAAAAAGUCUUUAUUCAGUAAUCAUUCCAUUUGUACUCUGUAAAAACAUGAUCUGUAAUUUUUCAGACAGUGCAAAGUUAAUUUUCUCAGAAUCGUCAAUAGAUCAGUGAAGCAGCUCGGCUCGGAUUUACAGUCAGAACCACACGGUCCACAGACACAGAAGGCCACAGACGGACACAAACGGCAAGAAAAACAAACGCUAUACCGUUACAAAACUGCAUCGAGAUUUGCAGGGCAGGUCUGAAGCGAUUAGCAUGGUUACCA